GAUGAACGCUGGCGGCGUGCCUAAUACAUGCAAGUCGAGCGAACAGAUGAGGAGCUUGCUCCUCUGACGUUAGCGGCGGACGGGUGAGUAACACGUGGAUAACCUACCUAUAAGACUGGGAUAACUUCGGGAAACCGGAGCUAAUACCGGUAAUAAUAUGGAACGGCAGGGUUAAUAAUGGAAGGCGGGUUUGCCUUUACUUUAUGAUUGAAUCCGCGCCGCAUUAGCUAGUUGGAAAGGUAACGGCUUACCAAGGCAACGAUGCGUAGCCGACCUGAGAGGGUGAUCGGCCACACUGGAACUGAGACACGGUCCAGACUCCUACGGGAGGCAGCAGUAGGGAAUCUUCCGCAAUGGGCGAAAGCCUGACGGAGCAACGCCGCGUGAGUGAUGAAGGUCUUCGGAUCGUAAAACUCUGUUAUUAGGGAAGAACAAAUGUGUAAGUAACUAUGCACGUCUUGACGGUACCUAAUCAGAAAGCCACGGCUAACUACGUG
rnacentral:rRNA from 1 species